CUCCUGAAACCUCAGGAUUCACCUUUAAGGAGGGAGACAGAUUUCUGCCAGCUAGAGACAGCUAUUUUGGUAUUCUCCCAGCUGCUUCUGCUGACCUCUGAGUAUGAAAAGAGUUUCAGGCAGCUACAGUGGCAUCCUACAUCAGCUACCAGUGACAGGAAACACACUUGGCCUUCCUGACAAGUCAGAAGAAAUCAGUGAAGGAUCAAUCUACGCCAAGGUGUUGUACCACUGUCAAGUCUUGACAUGGAAGAAAAUAAUGUUUGCU